CAUAAAUAUUGUAUUGUCUAAAAUGACUUAUCUCAGUAGUGACUUGGGCUCAGAUUUAUUGUACAGUUCAUCAACUUCUCAGCAUGCCGGAUAAUGAAUGUUUCAUUUACAUUGCUAAUUGCCAAGCCAUGGUUCCUACAACCUUUAACCCUUAUGCUUUAUCACAUUAUCACCAUAUGUCAAUAUAAUUGCAUUUAACAUUCCAAUUUUUUUUUUAAAAAAAUCACUAGCUGGAGAGGAACAUUUUCACUAAGAGAUAAU
rnacentral:sRNA from 1 species